rnacentral:rRNA from 1 species
UACGUAGGGUGCAAGCGUUAAUCGGAAUUACUGGGCGUAAAGCGUGCGCAGGCGGUUGUGCAAGACGGAUGUGAAAUCCCCGGGCUCAACCUGGGAACUGCAUUUGUGACUGCAUCGCUGGAGUGCGGCAGAGGGGGAUGGAAUUCCGCGUGUAGCAGUGAAAUGCGUAGAUAUGCGGAGGAACACCGAUGGCGAAGGCAAUCCCCUGGGCCGAUACUGACGCUGAGGAGCGAAAGCGUGGGGAGCGAACAGG